GCAAGUCGAGCGCGAACGGUCUUCGGACCAAGUAGAGCGGCGCACGGGUGAGUAACACGUGAGUAACCUACCCUUGGGUCUGGGAUAACAUUCCGAAAGGAGUGCUAAUACCGGAUAAGACCACGGUGCCUUCGGGCGCAGUGAGAAAAGUUGGGGACCGGAAACGGCCUGACACCUUAGGAUGGGCUCGCGGCCUAUCAGCUUGUUGGUGGGGUAACGGCCUACCAAGGCGAAGACGGGUAGCUGGUCUGAGAGGAUGAUC
rnacentral:rRNA from 1 species